rnacentral:rRNA from 1 species
AACGAACGCUGGCGGCAUGCCUAACACAUGCAAGUCGAACGAGACCUUCGGGUCUAGUGGCGCACGGGUGCGUAACGCGUGGGAAUCUGCCCUUGGGUUCGGAAUAACAGUUAGAAAUGACUGCUAAUACCGGAUAAUGUCUUCGGACCAAAGAUUUAUCGCCCAGGGAUGAGCCCGCGUAGGAUUAGCUAGUUGGUGAGGUAAAGGCUCACCAAGGCGACGAUCCUUAGCUGGUCUGAGAGGAUGAUCAGCCACACUGGGACUGAGACACGGCCCAGACUCCUACGGGAGGCAGCAGUGGGGAAUAUUGGACGAAUAGG